GUAAAUCCUCCCGCAUGCGGUUGUUUACCCUGAUCAAAUGAUGCGGUUCUUGAAUACCAACCGUGGCCAACGACAGUCGACGACAGAAUGCCCGACCCAUGGGCAGAACCCGACAUGCAAAGGUCAGGUGACCCAAAAGGACGCAAUUGAACUUUCCUAGCUCCUUUGACCCGGUCCACUAAUUCCAGAAGAACCGUGAGCUUAUCCUCCGGCAACCGAAAAAUCAUAUUACCGGUAUUGAUUUAGA